rnacentral:snoRNA from 13 species
GGAAGGAUGAACCAUAAUCGCUACAAUGAUCAAGAGUGAUUAUACACUUUCCUCUAAGAAGUUCUGACCAG